rnacentral:ncRNA from 1 species
GAUCUCUGGAGAGUCCCUUUUAUGGGCGCCGAAGGUGUAAGGCAGGCUUUUCCUUUUCCAUGUAUCUGGUGGAAAAAGCGGGGCUGCUGAUCUCUCAGGCAAACGGACAGAGCA